CUUCUUUAUUUUAAAAUGUAAUUUUGAAAUAAAUGGUUCCUUCAUAUACUCCACCAUUGUACUUCUUAAUGAAUUGUCAUUUCAUGUUGUAGGUAUUGUGAUCCAAAGACAGGGUUGUCUUAUGCUACAAAAGAAGUAUUCAAAAUCAUUCUCCAACAGUUAAACAGUUCACGUACGCACAAACUUUUUGGAUUGCAUUGAGGAGUCAUUGGAAUGGAAUAUUAGAUAAGUUCGGGUGAGAGACUUUACAAGAAUUAUUAUAUGUAUUAAACCUCACAUAAAGUGGUUGAUAUCUAAGAAACUGUUGUAAAAAAAUUUCUUUUGUAAUAGAAACUAUAUUUCUUUUGUAUACAA